UGUGGUCCCUGUAAAGCAUGUCAAAACAUCACUCCUACAAAAGAAAUUAAAUCUUUCAUCACUAAACCGAUUUUUUAAAAUACGUACUUUCAUUAAUUGCUCAUCUUCGAAUGUUGUUUAUCUGGCCAAUUCUAAAUGUGGGGUCCAAUAUAUUGGCAAAACUACUCAACAGCUUAGCCGUAUAAUCUUGCAACACAUUUACACCAUAAAUGCAGGGAGUGAUACACCAAUUGUGAGACAUAUACAUAAUUUCCAUGAUGGCAAGGCAUCAAAUCUCACAUUUCAAGCCAUUGAAAAGCUUACCACAAGAGGGGGUGACAUCAACCCCAAAUUGCUAAGGCAGGAAUCAAGAUGGAUUUCCACCUUUAAACCAUUGAGUCCUAAUGGACUCAGUUAAGAAUUUAAUUAUACAUCUUUCAUCACCUA